rnacentral:tRNA from 1 species
UCCCUGGUGGCUCAGAUGGUAAAGCGUCUGCCUGCAAUGCAGGAGGGCUGGGUUUGAUCCUUGGGUAGGGAA